rnacentral:tRNA from 1 species
GGGCGGUUCGCAUAGCGGCAAUUGCUCGUGGUUGUAGCCCACGCGACGCAAGUCUCCGGGGGUUCGAGUCCCUCACCGCCCA